rnacentral:rRNA from 1 species
GACGAACGCUGGCGGCGUGCCUAAUACAUGCAAGUUGAGCGCUGAAGGUUGGUACUUGUACCGACUGGAUGAGUAGCGAACGGGUGAGUAACGCGUGGGGAAUCUGCCUUUGAGCGGGGGACAACAUUUGGAAACGAAUGCUAAUACCGCAUAAAAACUUUAAACACAAGUUUUAAGUUUGAAGGAUGCAAUUGCAUCACUCAAAGAUGAUCCCGCGUUGUAUUAGCUAGUUGGUGAGGUAAAGGCUCACCAAGGCGAUGAUACAUAGCCGACCUGAGAGGGUGAUCGGCCACAUUGGGACUGAGACACGGCCCAAACUCCUACGGGAGGCAGCAGUAGGGAAUCUUCGGCAAUGGACGAAAGUCUGACCGAGCAACGCCGCGUGAGUGAAGAAGGUUUUCGGAUCGUAAAACUCUGUUGGUAGAGAAGAACGUUGGUGAGAGUGGAAAGCUCAUCAAGUGACGGUAACUACCCAGAAAGGGACGGCUAACUACGUG